AAUUGCUUUGAGCAUGCAGCUUAUAUUUAUUGGUUCUUUCCUUUUGACAAUUGUCACCAGUUGUCUGCUGUUCUUUCUGCUGAGUGGAAAGGGAGAGGGCUUGAAGAUUGAUUUUAGUUCCCUGUAACUGGAGGUGACAUGUGAAAGCUCAAAGCUAUUGAAAAGGGUGAGAGCUGAAUGUAGGCUCCAACAGGAAGUUGGCAUUGAAACCUGGUUGCUUGUUACUACUCAGAAUGCCAUCUACAAAAGGAAAUUAUGUAAAGAGCAAUAAAGAACCCCUUCUGUUCUUGCAGAA